AAAAGGUGGCUAUGCUACCGCUUUUGGAUGGGCCCGCGGCGCAUUAGCUAGUUGGUGGGGUAAAGGCUUACCAAGGCAAUGAUGCGUAGCCGAACUGAGAGGUUGAUCGGCCACAUUGGGACUGAGACACGGCCCAAACUCCUACGGGAGGCAGCAGUAGGGAAUCUUCCACAAUGGGCGAAAGCCUGAUGGAGCAACGCCGCGUGGGUGAAGAAGGUCUUCGGAUCGUAAAACCCUGUUGUUAGAGAAGAAAGUGCGUGAGAGUAACUGUUCACGUUUCGACGGUAUCUAACCAGAAAGCCACGGCUAACUACGUGCCAGCAGCCGCGGUAAUACGUAGGUGGCAAGCGUUAUCCGGAUUUAUUGGGCGUAAAGGGAACGCAGGCGGUCUUUUAAGUCUGAUGUGAAAGCCUUCGGCUUAACCGGAGUAGUGCAUUGGAAACUGGGAGACUUGAGUGCAGAAGAGGAGAGUGGAACUCCAUGUGUAGCGGUGAAAUGCGUAGAUAUAUGGAGGAACACCAGUGGCGAAAGCGGCUCUCUGGUCUGUAACUGACGCUGAGGUUCGAAAGCGUGGGUAGCAAACAGGAUUAGAUACCCUGGUAGUCCACGCCGUAAACGAUGAAUGCUAAGUGUUGGAGGGUUUCCGCCCUUCA
rnacentral:rRNA from 1 species